CAUUUUUGGUUCUGUUUGUGUUGUGAAACAUGCUGGAGUGAAGGGGGACCAGGUGCUAUGAGUUGGCAAUCAGCCGAUUGCUCCAGCUGCGGCAAGGUGUGGCUUUCCAGUCACUCAUCAGACCUAUAUUCACUAUAUAAGAUGCCAGCAAGCCACAAGUUGACGCUGGAUUGUAGUCAAGCCCAAUUUUCGCCACGCUUGCUGCCUUUGAAGUCCAUGUCUCAUCCCCAACUCCUCUCCGUUGGAUUCUUCUUUGGCUCCAGCUCUCCAUAUCCUCCAUUGAAAUCAUCUGGUCCACCUCCGUCUCCUCCAGCUCCCCAACCCUUGCACCCAGUUUUGUAGUUUGUCAAUCUCUCGUCUAUUCAAAUAGUAGUUCUAGUAUUUGAUUUGUAUUCUUGCAGUAAUUUGUUUGUAUUUUGUAAUUAUAGUUUGUCGUCCUCCAGAGGACAUUUUGAUAAAAUUUCUUAUAGGAAGCAUUUGUUCCUGGUAGUUUAGAUUGCUGCCUUGUUUGUUACUUGAUUUCACAAUUAGUGUUUGUAUUUGUGAAUAAAUAUUCUCAUUUAUUUUCAA